UACGCACCCUCGGGAUUCAGGCUGGACACCAGGGGCUCCGCCAGGGUCCUGGGAUGGCCGAGGAGCUGCUUGGUGCUGACCUGGGGAGCCACCUGCCUUUUGCUGCAGCGGUGAUAUGAGGAAAGCUCCCUGCAGCCACCUCGGCCCCAAAAGCAGCAAUGCAGGAUCCAACUCCUGUGCGUGUCUACGAGCAGCCCCCAGGCUUCAAUGGGGAGGAGGAAGGAGCCCCAGGGCUGAUGAAUCUCUGAAACCCCCUGGAGCGGCUGGCAGCUCGCACGGGCUCGGCUCCGGCUGGGCAUCCUCCUCGGACCGGGCCUGCAGGACGGUCACCGUGGCCCCCGUCUGCUGAAUAAACUGCUGCAAAUUA